CCAUCUUCUCUUUCCAAAGCAUGAAAUCCCCUUUGCCAUCGAACCUUUCGAUUUCUACCUUUACUGUACUCAUUUUUCUUUUCUGUGCAGUCUUUACAAGCUCCACCUUCACCGGUACUUGCUAUACUGAGGGUUUUGUUGCUCCAGCAAGCUGCUGCCUCCUCUAUUUCUUUCUGCUCAAGAAACGCCGAUAACCCACGUAAGAAGCAGCCUCUCAAAAAACUUGAAGAAGCAAGUCUCCGUGUAGAUUUCUGUACCUUUUUUUUCUGUAUCUGAAUCAGCCCUUCAUGUAGCCUUUAUAUAGCCAAAAAAAAAAACCAGUAAGUCUUCUUCUUGA